rnacentral:lncRNA from 1 species
GUCGUGUAUUAAUUAACUAUUAAUAAAUAACUCUGAAAUAUAGGCCUAUAUGCACUUUCGAUAGAGGGACCGCAAUCUUUUUUAAUAUUUUCUUUUUUCAUUUCAUGUUUUGACUUGUUGCAGAUCAUUGAUUGCCUCUUUGGACUUUUCAUCGCGUACUUUUAUGCAUUAUCUUAUAACAAAACCAAGCUACUUCUUUUGAUUCUAUUACUUUUUGCAAGAUGUAUUUACUUAUAAGAGGUCAUUGGUUGUCUCUUUUUGAUAUUCAACUUUUCAUCUAUACGUGUCCUU